rnacentral:rRNA from 1 species
AACUUGAGUGCAGAAGAGGAGAGUGGAAUUCCACGUGUAGCGGUGAAAUGCGUAGAGAUGUGGAGGAACACCAGUGGCGAAGGCGACUCUCUGGUCUGUAACUGACGCUGAGGAGCGAAAGCGUGGGGAGCGAACAGGAUUAGAUACCCUGGUAGUCCACGCCGUAAACGAUGAGUGCUAAGUGUUAGGGGGUUUCCGCCCCUUAGUGCUGCAGCUAACGCAUUAAGCACUCCGCCUGGGGAGUACGGUCGCAAGACUGAAACUCAAAGGAAUUGACGGGGGCCCGCACAAGCGGUGGAGCAUGUGGUUUAAUUCGAAGCAACGCGAAGAACCUUACCAGGUCUUGACAUCCUCUGACAACCCUAGAGAUAGGGCUUUCCCUUCGGGGACAGAGUGACAGGUGGUGCAUGGUUGUCGUCAGCUCGUGUCGUGAGAUGUUGGGUUAAGUCCCGCAACGAGCGCAACCCUUGAUCUUAGUUGCCAGCAUUCAGUUGGGCACUCUAAGGUGACUGCCGGUGACAAACCGGAGGAAGGUGGGGAUGACGUCAAAUCAUCAUGCCCCUUAUGACCUGGGCUACACACGUGCUACAAUGGACAGAACAAAGGGCUGC